GAUGAAAAAUGGAAUCUAACGAGUCUAAGAGCAGCCCAAAUGGAGUCCAAACGGCGAAGAUAUAUGCGAAGGAAGCCCGGGAGGAGUUGGUACGAUCCACGGGCCAUCGGAGAGCCCCAUGAGCCGGCAUAGGUUGUCGGUGGCAUGGGCCAGGCCUAGCCAGACGCGUGGUGUGCGUGGGCCGCAAUGCUGGGCUGGCCCAAACGUGCGGG
rnacentral:lncRNA from 1 species